rnacentral:rRNA from 1 species
CCUACGGGAGGCAGCAGUGGGGAAUAUUGCGCAAUGGGCGAAAGCCUGACGCAGCGACGCCGCGUGCGGGAUGAAGGUCUUAGGAUCGUAAACCUCUGUCAGCAGGGAAGAACGGUCACUGUGCUAAUCAGCAGUGAAUUGACGGUACCUGCAAAGGAAGCACCGGCUAACUCCGUGCCCGCAGCCGCGGUGAUACGGCGGGUGCGAGCGUUAAUCGGAAUUACUGGGCGUAAAGCGCUCGUAGGCGGUAUGUCAAGUCAAGGGGGAAAUCCCCGCGCUCAACGUGGGAACUGCCUUUGAAACUGGCAAACUGGAGUGGGUGAGAGGAUAGUGGAAUGCCAGGUGUAGGAGUGAAAUCCGUAGAUAUCUGGAGGAACACCAGUGGCGAAGGCGACUAUCUGGCACAUAACUGACGCUGAGGAGCGAAAGCGUGGGUAGCAAACAGGAUUAGAUACCCCAGUAGUC